UUGUUCUUCUCGUCCUUACCCUUUUGUCUCGUCAUCGGCCUCCGGUGAAGGAAAACCCUCUUCCAAUGCCGUUCUUCUCCUUCCACUACAUUAAUUACCUUUCUAUUUGUCGGCCGCUCGGUGCCGGUCAUUGUCGUUCUUCGUCCGGUCAUUAUGACGCCGCGCAAUCCCUUUUCUUUACUUCCCUUCCUUCUCUUUUGUUGCCUUCCUGUUCCGAAACGAAAAUUUCAAGCAGGAAUCCCCCGACCUGCCUUUCUCGCGUGCAUCCCCUCUUCAUCCUAUUUGCCUUUCCCGUCUCCUCCUCCCUGGUCCUGGGGUUUCUUACUUCUUGUUGGUCGAGGGUUUGACGUAAGGGAUGGAUCCCGGGGAAGGAAACGGCGAGAAGAGGGCGCUCGACGGGGAAGAUCUUGUCUCGAACAAGAAGCUGAGGAAGAACCGUUUCCAUGUGCGGGUCCUCCAAGAUGCCUUCUAUGGUUCGUGAGAUCUGAAUAUUUAUUGUGCAUCUCGAGUGGUGGGUCUUCGAUCGGUUUGUCUUCGAUGCGAAUUCUUGGUUGGGAUUUCAGUUAGUGGAACGGGGCACAGCACCCGUCUGCUGCGAAGAAGGCGGAGCUUGCUGACCAGACCGGGCUCACGCUCGAACAGAUGCAGGCGUGGUUUGCCAUUAGGAGGGCCUACGAUAGCUGCAGACCGUGGCAGAGGAAACCCUCGGAUGAGAAUUCCAUUGAUGAUCCAAUGGAAGGUGCGAUUGUCCUUUCUUUGCCUGCCCCCAUGAUUAAGUCGAGAUGGUUGCCGGUAAGGCCACCGCAGGUGAUUGGUCGUUGACCGCUUCAACAAGUGGGACACAGUUGCCUCCUCCAUCAGAUGACAUGCAAGGUGGGAGUUGGGCCAAUAGCCUCGUCAUACUUUCUACCGUCUAAUAGAUGGGUUAAUAAACAAAAAGAAUACGUUUCAAGUUGGGUGUUGUAAACUCGAGAGGAAAGCACGAUUGUGACCUCGAACACUUGUUCGUCAGAGUGGGGAACUGCUGCAGAAGUUUUCCGGCACCUUUUACGAUUCCAUUUCUCAUUGACAUCGUUGCCUAUGCAGUUUUGUGGUCCUCUGCUUAUCCAUCAUUUCAGUACCUGCCUUUUCCUAUUGUGUCAUUUGAAAAGAUUACUAGAAUUGAUGAAUGCCACAACUGUUAUCCUUAAUAGCACUUAAUCACUUGUUUUCAGAUGGAAUUAGUGGUUUUUAAAUUAAGAUCCACAAGAUGGUAUAUACAUAUAUAUAACAGAUCCUUCUAUCAACCUACUUCCCAGGAUUUAUUAUUUAUUCAUUUAUUUUUUCAUUUGUGAAGGUGAAAAGGAACAAGGUAGUGUGCUCCGAAGAACAAUGUGCAGAAGGAUAAAUCUGACUGUUGACAACCGAGUGGGAGAAAUAGGAGGCAGUAGUAACUUGGGGUCUUGGAAAAGCAUCAAGUGGUGGAAAAGAUGUGGAAAGUUGGAGCUAAUCCUGGGGCAAAGCGUGGAGAAUAUACUAGGCUUACAAACACUCCAAACGCUACAUUCCAAGCUGCUACGUAGUAAAACAAAGCUUUGGAGCGAAGCAGUGGCAUCAGAAUCCCCAGGAUAAUAUCCAAGCCUUGUACUAAAGUCAGCUCACAAGCCGACGAUUCCCCACCCUUCAAAAAAUUCACUCCUCUCUCUCUCUCUCUCUCUCUCUCUCUCUCUC